UACGGAGGGACUAGCGUUAUCCGGAGUUACUGGGCGUAAAGGGCGUGUAGGCGGAUCGGUAAGUCUACUCUGAAAGCUCCUGGCUAAACUGGGAGAGGCGAGUGGAGACUGUCGGUCUAGAGUGAGGAAGAGGAAAGUGGAAUUCCGCGUGUAGUGGUGAAAUGCGUAGAGAUGCGGAGGAACACCAGUGGCGAAAGCGGCUUUCUGGUCCUUAACUGAC
rnacentral:rRNA from 1 species